AACGCACAUUGCGCCCCUCGGUAUUCCGAGGGGCAUGCCUGUUCGAGCGUCAUUACAACCCUCAAGCUCUGCUUGGUCUUGGGCUCCACCGCUAACCCGGCGGGCCUUAAAAUCAGUGGCGGUGCCAUCAGGUCCUGAGCGUAGUAAAUCUCCUCGCUAUAGGAUCCUGGUGGACGCUAGCCAGCAACCCUAUUUUCUAUGGUUGACCUCGGAUCAGGUAGGGAUACCCGCUGAACUUAA
rnacentral:misc_RNA from 1 species